rnacentral:rRNA from 1 species
CCUACGGGAGGCAGCAGUGAGGAAUAUUGGUCAAUGGGCGCGAGCCUGAACCAGCCAAGUAGCGUGAAGGAUGACUGCCCUACGGGUUGUAAACUUCUUUUAUAAAGGAAUAAAGUGAGGCACGUGUGUCUUUCUGUAUGUACUUUAUGAAUAAGGAUCGGCUAACUCCGUGCCAGCAGCCGCGGUAAUACGGAGGAUCCGAGCGUUAUCCGGAUUUAUUGGGUUUAAAGGGAGCGUAGAUGGGUUGUUAAGUUAGUGGUGAAAGGUUGGGGCUCAACCGUGGAAUUGCAAUUGAUACUGGUAGUCUUGAGAACAGAUGAGGUAGGCGGAAUGCGUGGUGUAGCGGUGAAAUGCUUAGAUAUCACACAGAACUCCGAUUGCGAAGGCAGCAUACCGGCGCGCAACUGACGCUCAUGCACGAAAGCGUGGGUAUCGAACAGGAUUAGAUACCCUGGUAGUC